CAUAACCAUACGGUUUCUUCCAUAUCUCCAUCUUCCUUAAAAAUCUCCAACCAAAACCCAUUCUUCUCCUUAUAACUUCUUCCACAACGCAGCUUUCUUUUUGUAGCUGCUGUUAUUUUCAUCUCCUCCACCAAAAAGCAUUGAGAGGAGAAAACCGAGAGAGUGUCGGAAUUAAUUCUUCUUGUUAUUCUCUUCUUCUCAAAGGUAUAAUCUUUCCCUUCAAUUUAGUGUAUACAACCUUCUGGGUAUUAAAUUUGAAGAAACCGUGACUCUUUUAAUACCUCCUGCUUGUGCAAAAUUUUCUCUCAACCAAAGGGUGAGCUUGUGCACGUUGGUUGCGGUUGGAAUAAGAGGUGAUUGAGGAGUAAGCUUGUGAGAUUGAGCGACGACGGGCGUGGAGGAUGUUGAGCAAAAUUCAUGGAUUAAUUAUGUUUGGCUUAAUAUUGUUGGAUAUGUCGUGUCUUCAUACUCGGCAUUUUCCGUGUCUUGAACGCUUCCGCUAAGUGUCUUUUCUUUAGAAUUGUUUUAGUAUUGAGAACCUAACUCUUUUCAAAAUAUUCUACUUUCUAGUCUUUAUUUCUUAGAAUUGGUACUUUGUUGAAAUGAUACUAUGUUGUUUUCUAAGUUA